rnacentral:rRNA from 1 species
UUUUGGACAAUGGGGGAAACCCGGAUCCAGCCAUCCCGCGUGUAUGAUGAAGGCCUUCGGGUUGUAAAGUACUUUUUGCAGAGAAGAAAAGGUAUCACCUAAUACGGGAUACUGAUGACGGUAUCUGCAGAAUAAGAAGCGGCUAACAACGUUCCAGCAGCCGCGGUAAUACUGAGGGUGCAAGCGUUAAUCGGAAUUACUGGGCGUAAAGCGUGUGUAGGCGGUUCGGAAAGAAAGAUGUGAAAUCCCAGGGCUCAACCUUGGAACUGCAUUUUUAACUGCCGAGCUAGAGUAUGUCAGAGGGGGGUAGAAUUCCACGUGUAGCAGUGAAAUACGUAGAUAUGUGGAGGAAUACCGAUGGCGAAGGCAGCACCCUGGGAUAAUACUGACGCUCAGACACGAAAGCGUGGGGAGCAAACAGG